AGAGUUUGAUCCUGGCUCAGGAUAAACGCCGGCGGCGUGCAUAACACAUUCAAGUCGAACGAAGCAUUUAUGCUUCUUCCUUCGGGGAGGAGCAUGAAUGACUUAGUGGCGGACGGGUGAGUAACGCGUGAGUAACCUGCCUUUCGAUGGGGGAUAACGUUUGGAAACGAACGCUAAUACCGCAUGACAUAUCGUUGCCGCAUGGGGGCGAUAUCAAAGAUUUAUUGUCGGAAGAUGGGCUCGCGUUGGAUUAGAUAGUUGGUGGGGUAAGAGCCUACCAAGUCUGCGAUCCAUAGCCGGACUGAGAGGUUGAACGGCCACAUUGGAACUGAGAAACGGUCCAGACUCCUACGGGAGGCAGCAGUGGGGAAUAUUGGGCAAUGGGCGAAAGCCUGACCCAGCGACGCCGCGUGAAGGAAGAAGGUUUUCGGAUUGUAAACUUCAGUAAGCAGGGACGAAGGAAGUGACGGUACCUGCAGAGUAAGCCACGGCUAACUACGUGCCAGCAGCCGCGGUAAUACGUAGGUGGCGAGCGUUAUCCGGAAUUACUGGGUGUAAAGGGUGUGUAGGCGGGACGGUAAGUCUGAUGUGAAAAUUAGAGGCUCAACUUUUAACGUGCAUUAGAAACUACAGUUCUUGAGAGUCGGAGGGGUGAACGGAAUUCCCGGUGUAGCGGUAAUAUGCGUAGAUAUCGGGAAGAACACCGGCGGCGAAGGCGGUUCACUGGACGACAACUGACGCUGAGACACGAAAGCGUGGGGAGCAAACAGGAUUAGAUACCCUGGUAGUCCACGCCCUAA
rnacentral:rRNA from 1 species